AGCGAACGCUGGCGGCAGGCCUAACACAUGCAAGUCGAACGGAUCCUUCGGGAUUAGUGGCGGACGGGUGAGUAACACGUGGGAACGUGCCCUUUGGUUCGGAACAACUCAGGGAAACUUGAGCUAAUACCGGAUGUGCCCUUCGGGGGAAAGAUUUAUCGCCAUUGGAGCGGCCCGCGUCUGAUUAGCUAGUUGGUGAGGUAAAGGCUCACCAAGGCGACGAUCAGUAGCUGGUCUGAGAGGAUGAUCAGCCACAUUGGGACUGAGACGCGGCCCAAACUCCUACGGGAGGCAGCAGUGGGGAAUCUUGCGCAAUGGGCGAAAGCCUGACGCAGCCAUGCCGCGUGAAUGGUGAAGGUCUUAGGAUUGUAAAAUUCUUUCACCGGGGACGAUAAUGACGGUACCCGGAGAAGAAGCCCCGGCUAACUUCGUGCCAGCCGCCGCGGUAACAC
rnacentral:rRNA from 1 species